rnacentral:rRNA from 1 species
UGCCCAUAAGACUGGGAUAACUCCGGGAAACCGGGGCUAAUACCGGAUAACAUUUUGAACCGCAUGGUUCGAAAUUGAAAGGCGGCUUCGGCUGUCACUUAUGGAUGGACCCGCGUCGCAUUANCUAGUUGGUGAGGUAACGGCUCACCAAGGCAACGAUGCGUAGCCGACCUGAGAGGGUGAUCGGCCACACUGGGACUGAGACACGGCCCAGACUCCUACGGGAGGCAGCAGUAGGGAAUCUUCCGCAAUGGACGAAAGUCUGACGGAGCAACGCCGCGUGAGUGAUGAAGGCUUUCGGGUCGUAAAACUCUGUUGUUAGGGAAGAACAAGUGCUAGUUGAAUAAGCUGGCACCUUGACGGUACCUAACCAGAAAGCCACGGCUAACUACGUGCCAGCAGCCGCGGUAAUACGUAGGUGGCAAGCGUUAUCCGGAAUUAUUGGGCGUAAAGCGCGCGCAGGUGGUUUCUUAAGUCUGAUGUGAAAGCCCACGGCUCAACCGUGGAGGGUCAUUGGAAACUGGGAGACUUGAGUGCAGAAGAGGAAAGUGGAAUUCCAUGUGUAGCGGUGAAAUGCGUAGAGAUAUGGAGGAACACCAGUGGCGAAGGCGACUUUCUGGUCUGUAACUGAC